rnacentral:rRNA from 1 species
UACGGAGGGAGCUAGCGUUGUUCGGAAUUACUGGGCGUAAAGCGCACGUAGGCGGCUAUUCAAGUCAGGGGUGAAAUCCCGGGGCUCAACCUCGGAACUGCCUUUGAAACUGGAUGGCUAGAAUCCUGGAGAGGCGAGUGGAAUUCCGAGUGUAGAGGUGAAAUUCGUAGAUAUUCGGAAGAACACCAGUGGCGAAGGCGACUCGCUGGACAGGUAUUGACGCUGAGGUGCGAAAGCGUGGGGAGCAAACAGG